GGGCCACGAGGCCUUGGCCUGGUGUGUUGGGGGAAGUAGCUCUCUGCGUGCCCUUGGUGGUGUGCAUGUCUCUGGGGCUGGGCUUAGGUGUCGCCUCCCUUCCCGGGUCACAGGAUGUCCUCCACUUGUGGCUCUGCACUGAGGCUUGGUAGAGGCCCCUGUGACAGCUCAGUAGUGCAGGCUGCGGACCCGUCCGGCUGGUGUGGGAGGACUGGGUGCUCCUUCCAGCUGUGGGACUCGCAGAGGUGGCUGCAGCUCUCUGGGCUGCAUCAUCUGCAUAGAAGGAGCAUUCACCUUGGCCCUGCCUCCACACAGGGCCAUUCACCAGCCAUACAUGUCUGGCCAUUUACAAUCUCUUUUCUUCGGUUUUCCUCAGUGAAAAUGGACUCAUGGUCGUAUCAACCUCUUAGGGCUCCUGUGACGAUGAACUGAGUUAUGUAAAUUUAGCAAUCAGCUAUCAUCAUGGCCCCAUCAAUGGAAUCAGACCAGGCCAGGAGUGCUGUUCUCCCCGCUCUCUACCACAACGAAUGUCUCUUAGCCGUUUACCAAAGCCCUUGGGCGCCAGAUGAGUGAGUCCUCUCUUGUAGGUCCUGCCGCAGAAAGGAAUUAGAGCCCAGUAAAAAUUAGGCAGAAGCAAGUUCAACUUCAUCAGCAUGUAGAAUUCUCUCCUAAAAUCACAGCCCACUCUGGAAAGGCCUUCUUCGUGGGGAGGGUUAUGGGAGGGUGGGCUGCAGGGUGGCCAUGAGACCAGCGUCCAGGGGUGAGGAUUUGCACUGGGAAAGGGUACGUGGCGCUCAGGGAGCUGCAGCAGAAACAGGCCUGAGAUCUGGGGUCCUGCGGCACCUGGGCACAGCAAGUGCCCUGCAGUCGCUCCUCCUGGCCCUCCGUGGCUGGCCUUGUCCUUGAGUGGGGUCAGCGUCCCUGAGGGAGAGGCAGCCAGAGUAGUGGGUGAUGUGGGGACAAGCCUGUAAUAGUCACUCCUUAUCAGCCUGGCCCAACGCGGCAGGCCUUUCUUGGGCUUUAUUUUGGUAAGGGUGAGGCUUUGUUUGAACUCACAUUCUCUGUUGUUCUGAGUAACCACACGUAGUGCCAAACCGAGAUGGACUUUGGUGGUCUGUGCCAACCUUUGGCUGAAGAACACACUUAGGAGAGCGGCUCCUUUUUUGGGUAGGAAAAUAUUCUUUGUGGCUGGCAAGUGCUGCCUUGAACUUCCUACUUACUUCAUUAGCAGAUUGUCAGGGGAGAUGUGUCAGCUAUCCCGGGACCCCUUGGCGGGGCGGGGGGGGGGCCAGCCCCCUCCCCAGCUCUGUACUCUGGGGCCCUCACCCCUGAAUCCUGGGAAAGCUAGCACCUAAGAGUAAUCCCGCCGGCUUAAGACCCUCACCUGCUGGGGUUUCUUUUUAAGGACCCAUGUGACAAGGUGCUGAUGAAUCAACGUUAUCACCUCUGUCAGGAAUAAUAAGUAAAUUUUUUGAGAUUUUAUGAAAUGCUGGGAACUAAGUUAGCAUUUGCUUGCAUGAUCUCAUUAUAUCUGUAAGACAGCAUUUCUGAAACUACUUGCUACAACCCAUAGUAAAAACUAUAUGGUACGCCAUGACCCAGGACACACAUGUAUAAACAUCCCAUAAAACUGAAGCAAAAGUUCCCAGAACUCAUACAAAACCUUACUACGUGUAUUGUACUGGGAUAUUUUCUAUUCUAUUUCAACGUUUGGAAAGGUCAUGACUCGCCAAACUGCUUUCAGGAUCCACUGUGGGCACAGGUCAAGAAACGGAGCCCUGGAGGCCUGCACUGGCAUCAGCCUCUUCUGUGUGGUGGGAAACUCAAGUUCAGGGUCAGGUGGUUCGUCCACAUUCCUGCAGCCUGCAGAUGGCAGAGCCAGGACCCCACGCCAUCUCCAGUCCAGUCUUUAUCAGCCUGGGAGGCGGGCUGGGCCCCAGGAUUAUCCCCCUUUCACAGAUGGUAAAAUCGAGGAAGGAGUUGAGCAGGAUCUUGGCCAGAGCCGUGUGUGUGGCAGAGCCGUGUGUGUUCCAGAGCCGUGUGUGUGGCAGAGCCGUACCUUGAAGUUGGGUUUCCACCUCGGCCUUUCACAGACACCCAGCUUACAUGUUCUAGGUCCUUCCAGAUCAAUAGCUGCACUCUCCCUCCUUCCUCUGCUGGUUUCUCAGCUCGAUGGGCUGUAAGUGGCAUUACCAGGCCCCUGCUUGUGGGCGUGGUGGGGUUUUCUGUAGGUUUUUGCUAUUACAGGCAAUAACUUGAGGAACUUCUACAUAUACAAAGCUUUUAUUCUAUGGAGACUUCCCCUAUAUACGUGCCCCAGAGCAAGGUCCCUGAAGCUGCUUCUGGGGGCUUUGGGGUACCAUUCCAGUAAAAGGUUCUCUAAGGGCUGAAGCCCCUCUGUCGGGAGGCCCCUCUGCUUUUCUAAGCCCUGCCCACCCCCGCCCUCAGGGCCCACUCCUCCCACCUCUUCUUUUGCACACAGGGACCCCCUCCUGGCCCUGGGUCCCUGAGGACUCGCAGCGUCCUGUGGGACAGGCUGGCUCCUGUAUGAACAAAUGCACCUGCCUGCGAGGCUGGUCUUCCCAGACUCCUUGGAAGGGGGAGCCCACACCCGGGUCCCCGUGCUGUGGCCUCCGUGGUGAAGCUGGAUGUUUCUCUGGAAUGCCACGUUUUAUGGUUGUUUUUUAAUAUGGAUUUUGCUUCAUCUUUCAUAAAACAACCACAUGUAUUUUAGUAUAAAAAGAAUAUCUUACUCUA